UCCCGGGCAGGAACCCACGAAGAGGCAGGUUAGGCAACCAAGCGACCAGAUACGGCUCCUCUCCGGGAUCAGCAACCUCUCUGUCAUCUACAACCCCCUCAUGCUUGAGAACAGAAUUUCCUAUGAGCCUCUCAUCGCCGACUCGGGUUCCAGAAGUACGGACCGCUGACGAAUUGAGCAAAGCCUCGGGAGCUUCAGGGAGCCAUCGCCCUGCGGCCCACUGGAGGCGGGCGUGCGCAGGCGCAUUGGAUCCGAGGCGCAGUCACGGGCGGAAGAAGCAAAAAACAAGGCAUGUGUCUGCAUGACACUGAAGACUAUGCUUCCAGCAUAAAGAAGAAACCAACUUGCAAUGUACAAAUGAUGCUGAAAUUCAGAAAUUCACCGCCAACACUUGGGAAGACCCGGCCCCUUCCCUUCUCCCACAAUUCAAAACCAAGGAAUAAAAAGGAAACUCAUGAAACUGA